UUGUCACGCCCCGAACCCAACACUCGGGUCCGGUACGCGACCGGCCGCAUGAGCCUUAGAGCAGUGCCCUAAAGAUCAUGCAAGGCCUAUGUUUAACAAAAUUCCAAUAAAUCCACGAUUAAUUUAAUAAUUCAAAUAGACAAGUCCGACAUAUCCAAAUAAACAAAUUAGUUCAAUUACAAGAUCUUCAAAUGUUCAUCGACAUCAAAGAAGGACAAACAAACUAACUAGCUAAUGACUUUNNNNNNNNNNNNNNNNNNNNAGCAGAUGCUUAAGCUUGAUAAUUCAAUAAAAGAAUUAAAUAAUUCAAGAAAUGUGUAACUUGAAGUAAAAAUCAUUAUUGGUUUUUUAACUUAAAUUGUUUAGUCAUCCUGUCCCACCCAACAUUUUUUUGGAAAGAUGGUUUGUAUUGUAAAACAGGAAAAACUUAUUUUAAAUUAAUGAAAACUUUAAAGCAUAACUUCAAGCGUAUACAUUGAAUUAUCACUGGAGGAAAUUUUUACUUAAGAUCUAUCAGAAAGGCUUGGAAUUUUAAAGUCCGUGCUGAAAACCACAAUGUCAUUAUAAAGUUGGAGGUAUAAAUACUUUUAGUAUCUUCUAAGUAUUAAAAGUGGUUUCUGCCUUUUAUUUUUUUCAUUGGUAGCUGUAUUCUUAUUUGUUUUAUGAUGGAGAUAUAUCAAAAAUUAGAGUUGACAAUCAGAUCGCCUACAUUCCAAAUUGGCAUUUUGAACUUGCAAAGUUAUUUGGAAUUUAAUAAUGCGAUAAAUUGGCAUUUUUAACCUGCGUU
rnacentral:lncRNA from 1 species